AGUGAACGCUGGCGGCAGGCCUAACACAUGCAAGUCGAACGGCAGCACAGGAGAGCUUGCUCUCUGGGUGGCGAGUGGCGGACGGGUGAGGAAUACAUCGGAAUCUACUCUGUCGUGGGGGAUAACGUAGGGAAACUUACGCUAAUACCGCAUACGACCUACGGGUGAAAGCAGGGGACCUUCGGGCCUUGCGCGAUUGAAUGAGCCGAUGUGGGAUUAGCUAGUUGGCGGGGUAAAGGCCCACCAAGGCGACGAUCCGUAGCUGGUCUGAGAGGAUGAGCAGCCACACUGGAACUGAGACACGGUCCAGACUCCUAAGGGAGGCAGCAGUUGGGAAUAUUGGACAAUGGGCGCAAGCCUGAUCCAGCCAUACCGCGUGGGUGAAGAAGGCCUUCGGGUUGUAAAGCCCUUUUGUUGGGAAAGAAAUCCAGCUGGCUAAUACCCGGUUGGGAUGACGGUACCCAAAGAAUAAGCACCGGCUAACUUCGUGCCAGCCGCCGCAGUAA
rnacentral:rRNA from 1 species